GACGAACGCUGGCGGCGUGCCUAACACAUGCAAGUCGAGCUAGGAACUUCGGUUCCUAGCGGCGGACGGGUGAGUAACACGUGGGCAACCUGCCUUGUAGAGGGGGAUAGCCUUCCGAAAGGAAGAUUAAUACCGCAUAACAUCACGAAAUCGCAUGGUUUUGUGAUCAAAGGAGCAAUCCGCUACAAGAUGGGCCCGCGGCGCAUUAGCUAGUUGGUGAGGUAACGGCUCACCAAGGCGACGAUGCGUAGCCGACCUGAGAGGGUGAUCGGCCACAUUGGAACUGAGAAACGGUCCAGACUCCUACGGGAGGCAGCAGUGGGGAAUAUUGCACAAUGGGGGAAACCCUGAUGCAGCAACGCCGCGUGAGUGAUGAAGGCCUUCGGGUUGUAAAGCUCUGUCUUCAAGGACGAUAAUGACGGUACCUGAGGAGGAAGCCACGGCUAACUACGUGCCAGCAGCCGCUGUAACAC
rnacentral:rRNA from 1 species